AUCNCAUAGCACUAGAGGGGAGCGCCGCGC
rnacentral:piRNA from 1 species